rnacentral:RNase_P_RNA from 1 species
GAGUGGUGGUGGACGGCUUACCGAGAGGAGGAAAGUCCCCCCACCCGAGAAGAUGGACUCCGCAAGGGGUAUCCCCGAGAGGGGAUCGGGUAGGAACAGAAAAUCCCGGCAGGGGGUAAUGUAAUGAAGCCGAAGGGCAGAGAUCACCCCUGCUGGUUGAAAUUCCUGCCCGCCAUCGGGUGCAAGGCUUAACACCGCUCAGAAUGAUGCCGUCGGAACAGAAGGGGGCUUACUACCACCACUC